rnacentral:lncRNA from 1 species
AUGCAAGACAUAGGCAUUUCCGGCUGCAAAGAAAGUAACAUUUCCAUCAAUUGAUGGCAAGACACUAAUCCGUUGAUUGCAUAUAAUAUAUAUGUAUAUGUAUAGCCGGUGCUAUAAUUCUCAUAUGCAUCCUCCUCGACCUACAUUGGUAGGUGCUUACAUACAUAUGCUCAUAUAUUCACAUAUGAGUAGAACGAGAAGUAAAACUGAGAAAGCAGAGCCGCCGACAAAUUUGACUAACAUGACAUGUAUAUCGGUUACUUCAACUUGCACUUUAGGCCUUGCCAGAUUCCUCGCAGCCUGGUGGCCUGAAGGCAAUGAAGCUGACGCAUUGCACCUGGCGCAUGUUGUCGAAGCCGAUGACGCGGACAUACGCAUCAGGGUACUCCUUCUUAACCUCCUCCACCUCGUUGAGCACCUGUGUGGCGUCGGUGCACCCGAACAUAGGCAGCUUCCACAUUGUCCAGUAUCGACCGUCAUAAUACCCGGGGGAGCUGUUGUGCUCACGGAAGACGAAGCCAACCUUGCUGAACUCGAGGCAGGGCACCCACUUGGAGCGGAUCAAGUAGUCGACCUGCUUCAGGAGGGCCUCCGUGGAGAGGGGUGGUAAGUAAGACAGGGUCUCGAACUUCUUGAUGCCCUCAAUUGGCCACACCUGAAUAGAUGGAAUGAACACAAUUGAUCAACACUUAGUGCUUUAAGAAAGACCUACCCAUAAGGAAAAAAUUACUCCUGAUGGUCUGCCCACACAUCGUGGGGGGUCUCCACAAGCAAGAAAGCUCAAGGGCAGCUCUUGCUUAUGGGUAGUGUAUGGGCAUUAAAAUGAUAUUAUCUAGUACACAUUGCAAUAAAAAUGAUUUUCAUUCACAAAGUUUAUGAGUUAAAUAUGCCUACACAUGUGAAUCUGCUUACGGACUACAUUGUGAGGUUUACUUUGGCCUGGUAUGUGGGUUGCACGUCCUAAGGAUAGCGUUGCCUAUGUGAAGUGGAAAUACCCGAUAAAUUAAUCAAUUGUGCCGACAAGAACAUUCAUGACAGCUUAGUGUCCGCCAUUCUUUGCCAAAAAGUAAAUUGAAAAGGAGGAUAACCCAGCCCGUGCAUCAAGCGAUGCACACUGCCAUUUUUGUUAUGUUAUUUAUUUAACAUAGUCUAACAAAACGAAUACAGUUUUAAUUCAAAGCCACAUUCCAGACGAACAAAAUCGUUACACCUACAAAUACAAUGAUGUGCCUUGACUGCACCAUCUUUUGCAAAAAUGAUAUUUAGCUUUCAUACCUGCAUGCAUCUGAUCCUUCCGCCAUUGCUGACGCUGCUGAGGCCGGCGCUGCAGGAGCGGCGGCUGACGGGGAGGCCGGCGGUCGACUUGAGCCCCUGGAAGGGCGCGGCGGUGGUGGCGGAAGAAGCCAUCACGGCUGGGGCCAUGGCGGAGUACGUGAAUUGCUAGGUGGGGAGGCGAUAGCUAGCUAGGCCACACUUGACUUGAGCCCUCCUCAUGCCGCUCCAGUAUAUAUCAGCGUAUGCCCAGCGCCGCUCCUUUCAAACGAGAUUUCGAAGGGGUGGUCGUCGUUUGCUUGCUGCAAGGUGCCUUAUCCCUCUGGAUCAGCGGAAGAGGGUUGGAAAAUCAAAAUGAAUGCCACGGAAGAGAUAAAUAUACCUGCGGUCAUUGAAGUUGAGGCCGAAGCACACUACAGUCAUUGUACUUCAAAAUAAGUUUAAUACGGUCAUUGAAUACGAGUUGUAGUGUGCUUCCUAUUUUUUUUCUAGUCUGCAUACACGGAGAAGGUGGCACACUACAGUCACUGCACACACUCAGCCGUAGAAUGCCCGUAUUUCCUCUGUUUUUUUUUCUAGUCUGCAUAUAAAAUGUGGUCAAAGUUAAACUUUGUCAACUUUGAUUAAGUUUAUAAAAGAAAUAUAACGAUUCAUAAUAUGAAAUCAAUACUGUUAGAUGCAUCAUGAAAUUAAGUUUUAUACUUUCUUUAUUUUAAAAUAUAGUGCGCCCGCGUUUUCCGAGGUCUAACUUUGACCAUAAAUUUAACCAACGACACCGACUGCGAUGAGAGAAAAAAUUAUAUAAUUGAAAACCUCUUUUGAAUACGAAUUCACUGGUAUAAUUUUUGCUCCCACCGCAGUCGGUCUUAUUGGUUAAAUUUAUAGUCAAAGUUGAAACACGGGAAUAAAAGAAGCACUAUAUUUUGAAAUGGAUGGAGUACAAUAUAACUUUUAGUAUUGUAGAUGUUGAUAUUUUUUUCAACAAAAUUGGUUAAACUUUACAAAGUUUGAUUUUGACCAAAUACUAUAUGCAGACUAAAAAUAACGGAGGGAGUACACAACACAUGCAUCCGCACACGCUCGGCUGCAUGGUGGCGUGCGCCAUCUGCGACGACGUUGGUUCGUCGUGGUACGUCCAAGCUUGCCCACAACAAUGCCAUACGCCAUCUCUUGCAGCACCUCUUCGUCGUCAUUGCUCGACGACUGGCCGGAGACCAAGGUGACCGUGGCCUCGGCCUUAGAGCUAGCACCGAUAGAAAGCAUACGCGCAUGUACGGAGUACCCACUAGGUCGUGCGUCCCCAGCCGCGCCUCUACUCCUACUGCGCACAUUGUCUAUGAAGGCGAAUGCAUCACGCGCUAGCCGAGGCUUCAUCUUUAAUAAUUACAGCACCUACGGCACAAUCCGAGACUGCAUGGAGUCCUACUCGUGCAUGAGCCACUCUUGAUCACCUGUCGGAUCAUCCCCUCGGAGAACCUCAUCGCCUUGCCACCGUGGCCCCUAGCUCCUGCCCUUCACCUUGUGCUCCUACCAGUCGUCGAUCCGACAGGUGAUCAAGAGUGGCUCAUGCACGAGUAGGACUCCAUGCAGUCUCGGAUUGUGCCGUAGGUGCUAUAAUUAUUAAAGAUGAAGCCUCGGCUAGCGCGUGAGGCAUACGAUCAUGAUUCUCAGGUUCGAAGCCCGCAUUAAUUUACAUCCCUUCAGUUUUCUCUUAUACACCAUGAUAGGUGGGACCUAUAGAGCAGGGAGACAACUCAGCGCUGAUGGAGCCCUAACUGCCCCAUAGACUCUUUGACAGGUCAACUGGGCAAAAUACGAAGCUCUAUGGUGAACCAGUGACCAUAUAAUCAUCGUAACUCGUAUCCAAUGACUGUAUUGAGUGUAUUUUGAGGUUCAAUGACCGUAGUUUGCUUGGGCCUCAAUUUCAGUGACUGCUAGUGUAUUUAUCUCGCCACGGAAAGACCCCAAAACGUUAUAUAGGAUCACCAUUGAUCAUCCAAAUCUAAGGUCACUGAAUUUGUUAUGAACAAAUUCUUUGGCGCGAAACUAAACCACGCCAACACUAAAAUUCAUGAAGGGAAGUCAUCCAUACUCUUAUGUUUCAUUAUAUGAGACGGUAAUUAUUUCUUCAUUUAAAGUGUUGGUAUGGCUCCACCAUGGUGUUAGAUGUGGCAUUUUCCUAUACGAUGUGAUAUCAUCAUUUUUUUCUAAUUUAAUAAAACUUCUUCAUAUAGGUCUCACAAUCUGAAAAUACUCAUUCGCACGCGCGCGUUGGGUGGGUGAAGCGCUCCGUAGAAUAAGUCAGGUUCCGACCGCGUGCUAUAUUCCUUUCCAAUUUUUCACAUGUUUUUUUAAUUGAGAAUGGUGGCCCCAUAUGGUAUAGCAGCCCAAUGCCAUGGAAUUAAAUGUGUUGGGCCCACCCCACCUGAUACGCGCAUUCGUAGAAGGGCUAGUUGUGGUGGCAUCAUGCCUUUGACUUUUAAUGAUAUAUCUUUGAAUUUCAUCAAAUUUCAGUAGACAGCGAAAUAUUUACCUUUCGCCCAAAAUAUAUCAGUCAUUUCAAUUGUACACAUGAAUUCAAAUAUUUUUCAACAUUUUUUCAUUUUUUUUAACUUUCGAGUGAAUAUUUUGGUCUUUUGGUCAAAAUGCAAACUGACAUUACUGGAACUUAGUAAUUUUGGUAGGUACUGAAAUGAAAAAACAUGGGUGCCAUGGCAUGCAAGCCCACCCUGUGAUCAAUAUAUAAUCUCACACUAAAUUCCAGGUGGGGGCUAGUUUCCCUAAAAUAAUGAAUAAUCCAAGGGAACGGAAAUAUCACUGCACACUUUCCUAAUAGGGGCGUGGACGGCCAGUCGGAAAUCGACCACGCGGACGCGCGUGCGAAUUAGCCUCCCCCCCAACAAUCAUCCACCCAAAAAAUAAUUCAAGUUAAUAUAAUUUUAGCCUGGCAUGCGUGUACCUCCACGAUAUCGAUGUAAUGGGCUGCUGGUGUUUGCAACUAAUUGUUUCGUAAUGUUAUGACUGAAUAUGGAUUUUCUCAUGAGACAUAGGGUUUCUGCCUCUUAGGCAGGUUUUAUGACAAAAUUGAUAGUUUCGUCAUGGAAGGUCCCAUGUUCAUGACACAAACACCAAACAUCGCAGUUAAUUCAUUGUAGAAGGCCAAAAUAUUACUAGUACAAGCUAUCUUGGGGCUCAUCAAUUGGAUAUGUAAUUUGCACAUAUUUGUGCCCUCUACAUGUUCUUUGGUUUAUUGGAAUUUCUGUAAUACUGCAAAAAAUAGUAUAUAAUUGUGGUGUAAAAUGGUUAGAAAAAGUGACAUGUCUUUCAUGAACCGAUGCAGGAAUAUGGCUCACAUGACAAGUGCAUUACGGUAGGUUUGUCCUUGUCUUGUUAUGACACCUUUGUUUGUCCUUUUUUCUAGUUUCUUAUUUGUUUUUUUGUUUUUUUGUUAUUAUCGGUUUCUCGUCAAUUCCCUAUUGUUUUGCCAUUAGUUUUUAAUGGGGUCUCACCAUCUUUUAUGUGUUUCUCCAUAGUAUUUUUUGAAGUACUUUGGUAUUCCAUAACAAUUUCCGUAUUAGACAAUACACAACAUAUGAUUGAGCAAAAAAUGCAUGAGAAGAAAACAAUGCAAGACAUAGGCAUUUCCGGCUGCAAGGAAAGUAACCAUUCCAUCGAUUGAUGGCAAGACACUAAUCCGUUGAUUGCAUAUAAUAUAUAUGUAUAUGUAUAGCCGGUGCUAUAAUUCUCAUAUGCAUCCUCCUCGACCUACAUUGGUAAGUGCUUACAUACAUAUGCUCAUAUAUUCACAUAUGAGUAGAACGAGAAGUAAAACUGAGAAAGCAGAGCCGCCGACAAAUGUGACUAACAUGACAUGUAUAUCGGUUACUUCAACUUGCACUUUAGGCCUUGCCGGAUUCCUCGCAGCCUGGUGGCCUGAAGGCAAUGAAGCUGACGCAUUGCACCUGGCGCAUGUUGUCGAAGCCGAUGACGCGGACAUAGGCAUCAGGGUACUCCUUCUUGACCUCCUCCACCUCGUUGAGCACCUGUGUGGCGUCGGUGCACCCGAACAUAGGCAGCUUCCACAUUGUCCAGUAUCGACCGUCGUAGUACCCGGGGGAGCUGUUGUGCUCACGGAAGACGAAGCCAACCUUGCUGAACUCGAGGCAGGGCACCCACUUGGAGCGGAUCAAGUAGUCGACCUGCUUCAAGAGGGCCUCCGUGGAGAGGGGUGGCAAGUAAGACAGGGUCUCGAACUUCUUGAUGCCCUCAAUUGGCCACACCUGAAUAGAUGGAAUGAACACAAUUGAUCAACACUUAGUGCUUUAAGAAAGACUUAGCCAUAAGGCAAAAAUUACUCCUGAUGGUCUGUCCAUACAUUGUGGGGGGUCUCCACAAGCAAGAAAGCUCAAGGGCAGCUCUUGCUUAUGGGUAGUGUACGGGCACUAAAAAUGAUAUUAUCCAGUACACAUUGCAAUAAAAACGUUUUCCAUUCACAAAGUUUAUGAGUUAAAUAUUCCUACACAUGUGAACCUGCUUACGGACUACAUUGUGAGGUUUAGUUUGGCCUGGUAUGUGGGUUACACGUUCUAAGGAUAGCUUUGCCUAUGUGCAGUGGAAAUACCCGAUAAAUUAAUCUGACAGCUUAGUGUGCGUAAUCCUUCGUCAAAAAAAUUCAAAAAGGAGCAUAUCCCCAGCCUCUGCAUCAAGCGAUGCACACUGUCAUCUUUAUUAUGUUAUUCAACAGAGUGUAACUUAACAAGUACGAUUUUAAACCUAAGCCAUUUUCGAGAUGGACAAAAUUGUUACACCUACAAGUACGAUGAUGUGCCUUGACCGCUCCAUCCUUCGCAAAAAUAAUAAUUAGUUUUCAUACCUGCAUGCAUCUGAUCCUUCCGCCAUUGCUGACGCUGCUGAGGCCGGUGCUGCCGGAGCGGCAGCUGACGGGGAGGCCGGCGGUCGACUUGAGCCCCUGGAAGGGCGCGACGGUGGUGGCGGAAGAAGCCAUCACGGCUGGGGCCAUGGCGGAGUACGUAAAUUGCUAGGUGGGGAGGCGAUAGCUAGCUAGGCCACACUUUGAGCUCUCCUCAUGCCGCUCCAGUAUAUAUCACCAUAUGACGCCCCAACAAGAUUUCCAAGGGGUGGUCGUCGUUUGCCUGUUGCAAGGUGCCUUAUCCCUCUGGAUCAGCGGAAGAGGGGUGGCCCUCCGAUGCAUUGCGUGCGUGUGACUGCUGUACAAAUGGUAUAAUAAUUUUUGGAUCGUUAGAUUAGCACCUGCGCCUCUCUCCCCUAAUCUGCCGUAGUUUUCAUCUAAGGCUCCCACUAAUUUUGAUUUAUUUUGUUUCCAAAAAGUCACUGCUCCCAGAAAUUACUCCUCGAAGAUUUGUGUCUGAGGUAAUUGCACGGGUGGUGCUUGAACUUGUUAUCGAUGUUCACUUUAAUGCCUGAACUUGAAAAAUACGUCCAACUAGUUAUAGUACUUGGCACACUUGUUCGAAUAUGGUUCAAACCUCGUUCGCAUACAUAUGUGUUGCUAACUAGGCAUGUCAGCAUGGCGCAGGGCCCACUUGCAGUGCCGUGACUACUUGCAAAGUAUACUCUAUGUGGCAAUCGGGUCCCACCGUGUGGCUGUCAAGGCUCCCACUAAUUUUGAUUUAUUUUAUUUUCAAAAGGUUACUGCUCCCGAAAAUUACUCCUCCAAGAUUUGUGUUUGUGUCUCUCUACAUGUGGUGGGGGCGGUGGGGAGGAUAACGCUGUGCCUGUGAAGAUGCACCCUACGCCUGUAUAAGUAGCGCGCCAAGUUGGCCACACAGAUACCGCGCACUGUCCGAUGACGUGUACCCAUCCACCUGCCGCCUAAUACAUGGAUAGAUAGGCGGCGAAACACCGACCAACACAUGAUGAUCGCACAUUGAUAGUAUAGGGGAUCGUAGCAGUCCUCAGUCUGAUGAGAUCACCUAUUAAGGGAUAGACUCAUCAGCACCAAACAAGCUACAACAUAUGGGGAUCCUAAUGCAAGAUGCUCACCUACCAAACAUAGUCGACCUGACAAACCACUUGGACGAUACCAAGUCACUCGAACGAGCCAAGUACACUAGGUCAUUUGGACGGAGUUCAUCAAUGUACGAAUACACCAAACACUCGAAGGCACGAAGUACAACAUGCAGAGAAGGCACCUGGGGCGUUGUGCAAUUUAAUAGAAUUAGCAUUACUAACUUUAUUGCAUCAAUUACCUCUUGUAGUGGAUCUAAUAAUUAGACAUCUUUAAACACACUGGUAGAAAAAGGGCCUGUUGUCCCGGUUCGUAAGGGCCUGUUGUCCCGGUUCCUGAACCGGAACUAAAGUGUCGGUACUAAUGCUCUGUCCCUUUAGUCCCGGUUCAAUCCAGAACCGGGACUGAUGGGCCUUCACGUGGCCUGUGCGCGGAGCCCAGGCAGGAGACCCUUUGGUCCCGGUUGGUGGCACCAACCGGGACCAAUAGGCAUCCACGCCUCAGCAUUUCUGUGGCUGGGGUUUUUGUUUUUUUUUGAAAGGGGGGGGGGGGUUGGGGGGUUUUGGGGGGUUAAUUUAGGUGUUUCAUAUAUUGUGUUAGCUAGCUAUAAUUAAUAGAGAGAAGUGUUAUCUCUUAUGUCCGUCCUUGGUCGACGCUACGUACUAUACAUACGUAUAAAAAGGACUAGACAUGCUAGCUAGCUAGUAAGCAAACGAAGGAAACAGAAUAUCGUCAUGAACAUAUAUGCAUACAGAGAGAAGUGAUAUCGACCACCUCUCCUUCUUCGAGAGAUUGGUCGAACAACAAGUUCUCGUAUAUCUAUCCGACACUACUGGCUACAUAUAUACAACAAUUAUCUCUUACAAAUAUAAUCAUACGGACUCAUGGUCCACAUAGUAUUCUCCGUCUUCAGCGAUCACGUGGUCAAGAAAGAAUGCCGUCAAUUCCUCUUGAAUUGCUCGCAUGCGAGCUGGUGCUAGGAGUUCAUCCCGCUUCCAAAACAUCUAAUUUGAAGAAGGGGGUCAAUACAUAUAUAUAUAUGAAUGAAUGAAACUCAAUACAAAUGAUGGUAAUAAAAUAAAAUUGUGAAUGUUGUUAUUUACGUACUUCAUAUUGUUCGUCAGAGUACCCGCCCCGCUCACAGGUCGUGUGGCGGAUGGACUCGCAGACGUAGUAUCCACAGAAAUCAUUCCCUUGUUCCUGCCACAACCACUUUACAAGAAAUAGAGGUCAAUCAAACUGAUAAGCAAGAACAUGCUACUAUAGUACUUACUUUCGGGUGUCUAAAUUCCAGCUCCUUCGGCAGUCCCGGAACUUUUCUGGUGAAUUUUCUCCAAACCCUGCCGGACAAAGAAAAUAAUUACUUGAUAUCAGGAAAUGAACAAAGUUGCUGAUAUGGUGGAUAAUGAUCGAUUUAACUUACUUCUUGAGGAUUUCAGUCAUGUCCGCAUACUCCUGGGGAUUUUUUCGUUUAGAGUCCAAGACGAUUACUACUCCCUGCUCAAGCCUAAUCUCUAAGAGAAUAUAGUGGAAACUGCACACGCAUGCAUAACUCAUCAAUUACAUUACUAUAACCUGGACUAAUAUAUAAGGGAAACCGAAUAUGCACAAGACAGUAACACUCACUUGAAGUUGUAAGGAAAGAGUAUUAUAUCUUUGUUUUCAUUUUUUUGAAUGAUCGUAGCAAGUUGGCCUCGGUAUCUUCGGGACGAUGUUCAACCUCAGUUGCAUCUAUGAGAUAUGUGUUAACGAACCCAAUAUCACCGAUUUGUCUUUUCUUCAAUUCGGCGAUCUUCAUUCUGCAUAAUAUAGUGAGGAUAAUUAUAAAUACAUGCAAUGAAAGAGAUGAGCUAUAUAGAGAGACUUAAUGACAGAAGUAGUAGUACUUACAGACAGUAGCAGGUGAUCGUUGUUUUAUUGAGGGCCAAUUGAUUGAAAAACUGAUAGAACUCCUCAAAUGGAAUAGGCAACAGUUCAAUUCCAACGAGGUCAUGCUCCGGUUUAACUCACGCAUACAAAGUACUCCUCCCCCCAGACUCUCUGCAGAUUUUCAAGUACCAAUCAUGUAAUCUUCGCAUCAUCGUUGUUAAAGAUUUUUCAUCUUUGACGAGAGGCUUCCCGUACUCGUAUCUGUGUAUCUGCACCUCCAUGGGAUCAUAAUGUACAUCGUCGGGCAGGUAAUCGUCAGCAUUGCCAUAACCGGGCACCAUCCUCGGAUCAACGAUGUCGCUAGGCACCUUGAGGGGGGGCACGAUUGCUUCGCUUGUUCGCCGAGCUGGGCAAUUUGUUUCCCAGCUGCUCGUCGUUCUUUCAGCCUUUGAUCACUGAGUGUACUUCCCGACCGCUUCGCUUCGGCCCAUGUCUUUGCAAUAAUGCGCUCAUAGUUGCCUUUCGGCGGAGACUUGGGUGGUUUUGCCAGGGCAGCCAGAGUGCGCUUCACUUUCACCAGAUCUACCUUCUCCUCCGGAGGUGGAUGUCUCUUUGCUCUCAACCCUUGAAACCAGUCAUCCACUUCGGUUCGCGCGAUCUUCGUGUUCUCCUCCGGGGUCCUCUCGUAUGGUAACUUCUGUGGACUCUUCAGAGAAGGACCGAAUCUGUAUGUCCUCCCGACUCUGGUUGUACUGCUAGACACCGACCGAGCAGAAGAAGCGGUUGUCUUCUUUACUUGCUUACGAGGCGGAGGAGAAGGACUAUGACACACCGGAGCAGCUGCUGGAGCGGCGGCGGGUCUCUUCCGCCCUUGCUGACGAGGCGGAGAAGGAGGAGGCCGGCUGCUCGGGCGCGCCGGCGCAGGCGGAGUGCCGCCACGCGCCGGAGAAGGAGCCGGCCGAGGGCCCUGAUCGUCACUCGCCGGAGGAGGAGGCGGUGAAGGAGGCGGAGUGCCCUGACUCGCUGGAGAAGGAGGAGGAGGCGGAGGCAUCCAGUUCGGAAGGUUGAUGAGCUCCUUCCGCCAUAGGCAUGGAGUCUUCAGAGCAGACCCCAGCUGAGUCUCCCCUUCACCGGUAGGGUGGUCAAGCUGGAGGUCCCCAAAUCCCUCCGUUAUUUCAUCCACCAUCACCCUAGCAUAUCCUUCUGGAAUCGGCUGGCAGUGAAAAGUUGCGCCGGGUUCAGUAGGAUAAACAGAGCCAACAGCCGCCUUGACCUUCAAAUUCAUCCAUUGCGUCAUAAGGUGGCAAUUUUGAGACUCCGUGAUAGCAUCCACGGGAUAGCUGGCAGGAGCCAUCAAGGCAUGCUUCGGCUGAAGCAGCUCGGUGGAAGCCACGCUGCUUCUGCGCUGAGAUGGCGGGGUCGCUUCGGGGGAAGCUUCGGCAGUACGUUUGCUGCGAUUUGCUUCUCGUUCCUCUAUCACGUCUACCCUUGCUUGCAGCGCCUGUAUUUGGGUCUGCUGCACUUUUUUCCUCCUCUCAUGGGAUUUGUAACCGCCUGCGUCCGGAAACCCAACCUUCCACGGAAUGGAGCCUGGCGUGCCUCGUGUCUGUCCAUGGUGCUCAGGAUUCCCGAGGGCCAUUGUGAGCUCGUCGUUCUCUCUGUCUGGAAAGAACUUCCCUUGCUGUGCUGCUUCGAUAUACUGCUUAAGCUUCCUGACUGGUAUGUCCAUUUGAUCGUUCGUCCAAAUGCACUUCCCUGUUACAGGGUCCAAGGUUCCGCCAGCCCCAAAGAACCAAGUCUGGCAACGGUCUGGCCAGCUAAUUAUCUCUGGUUCGAUCCCUUUAUCAACCAGAUCAUUCUCAGUCUUGGCCCACUUAGGCCGGGCUACGAGGUAGCCACCUGACCCCGUGCGAUGGUGAAGCAUCUUCUUCGCAGCAUUUUGCUUGUUUGUCACCGACAUCUUCUUACUCUUUUCCUAUGUCUUGUGGGCCACAAAUGCGGGCCAGUGAUCUCUGAUCUUCUCAUAUCUUCCCUUGAAUUCUGGUGUCUCAUUAUUUUCGACAAACUUAUUCAGCUCUUUCUUCCACCUCCUAAAUAGUUCUGCCAUCCUCUUAAGAGCAAAAGACUUGAUUAAUUGCUCUUUAACUGGGUUCUUUGGAUUAUCCUCUGGCGGUAGGGUGAAAUUUGACUUCAGCUCAGUCCAAAGAUCAUUUUUCUGCAUAUCAUUGACAUAAGACACCUCAGGGUCUUCUGUAGCCAGCUUAAACCAUUGUUGGAUGCUUAUCGGGAUCUUGUCCCUAACCAGAACCCCGCACAGAGCAACAAAUGCGCUCUUUAUCCGGAGGGGUUCAAUCGGUUGGCCGUCGGGCGCGAUUGCUAUGAUCUCAAACUUUUCAUCCGAGCUCAACUUUUUCUUCGGGCCUCGUCUCUUUACCGAAGUUGUGCUCGAUCCGGAGGGCUAGAAAAAAGAACAAAGACUUAAUUAAUAUGUGUACAUACCAAAACAAUGAAUGCAUCAAUCAGCUAGUCAGCACAGGCUUAACUAAUAUAUAUACCUGGCCGGACUCGGUUCGGUCACCGGAGCCGUCAUCACGGUCUCCUUCUUGCACCGUCAUUGGGUCACCGGAGCCGUCCUCAUGUUCUUCUUCUUACACCGGCAUUAGGUCACUGUAGCCAGCUUCUUCACCCUCUCCUUCCAGACCAUCGGUGUUGUUGAGAAACAACAAGAUGGCAUCACUUCCUUCUGCGAUUAUGUCCAUCAACAACGCUUCUUUUGCUUCGUCUCGGGAGGUGUCCAUAGUUUCUACAAAUAUUUACAACAUGGCAAUUAUUAUUCAAACAUGACAGAUGGAUAUAUUAGUGCCAAACGUAGAACUAGCUACCUAAUCAUAGUAAGGAAUCAUAUAUAUUAAUUAGUGGCCUCGACCCCCCCCCCCACGUGUUGAAGCUAUCGGGAGGGGGUAUAUAUCGACAACGACGACACUACAUCUAUAUGUCCCUCGACGACCCUCGUUCCCGAUAAAAAAAGAGGAAGAAAAAGAAAAAAAAAGAGGAGAAGAAAGAAUAGAGGAGAAGAACUCCUCUAUUCUUUCUUCUCCUCUUUUUUUUCUUCUUCCUAUUCUUUUUUAUCCUCUUCUUCCUCUCAUGUUCGAGAGGAUCGCCGAGGGGUCGGAAGGUUGCCUAGUGUCAAAGGAUUCAACAAAACCAUGUCUUCAUCAUUAGGCGAAAGUAACAGGUGCAUGAUGGUACGAAGCUCUCCAAAGUUAUUUUGGAACGGAGUCCUAGAUAGGAUAAUUCGCUUUUUGGUACAAAGUUCAGCAAGAACCUUCCAAAUAUCAUGAUUUGAAAGGCCUUUGUUGAAAUUCAUACAAAAAGGCAAAUUAUCCUAUCCGGGACACCAUUCCAAAAUAACUUUGGAGGACUUCGUCAUGCCCUGGUUACUUCCGGCUAAUGAUGAAGCCAUGGAUUUCUUCAAUACUUUGACACUAGGAAACCUCUCUCGACCCCUCGGCGAUCCUCGACCCCUCGAACCCUCGACGACCCUGGAACCCUCGACCCCUAGACGACCCUGAAAUAAAAAGAGGAGAAUAAGAAAGGAAUAUCUAGAGGAGAAGAUCGAAGAAAAAAAGAAGAAAAAAAAGAGGAGAAGAAGAAAGGAAUAGAGGAGAAGAAGAGAAAAUAGAAUAUAUUCUAUUUUCUCUUCUUCUCCUCUAUUCCUUUCUUCUUCUCCUCUUUUUUUUUCUUUUUCUUAUUUAUUUUUCCCCUUCUUCCUCUCCUCUUCUUCUCCUUUCUUCCUCUUCUUAUUUUCCUUUUUCCUCUCCUUUUUCUUCUUCUUCCUUCUUUCUAGCUAGAUAUAUAAAACUUUUCAAAAAAUGUAACUUUUGCAUAUAUACAUGGAAAAAAUUGUUAUCGGGGAGGGAAUAUAUUCUAUUUUCUCUUCUUCUCCUCUAUUCCUUUCNNNNNNNNNNNNNNNNNNNNNNNNNNNNNNNNNNNNNNNNNNNNNNNNNNNNNNNNNNNNNNNNNNNNNNNNNNNNNNNNNNNNNNNNNNNNNNNNNNNNNNNNNNNNNNNNNNNNNNNNNNNNNNNNNNNNNNNNNNNNNNNNNNNNNNNNNNNNNNNNNNNNNNNNNNNNNNNNNNNNNNNNNNNNNNNNNNNNNNNNNNNNNNNNNNNNNNNNNNNNNNNNNNNNNNNNNNNNNNNNNNNNNNNNNNNNNNNNNNNNNNNNNNNNNNNNNNNNNNNNNNNNNNNNNNNNNNNNNNNNNNNNNNNNNNNNNNNNNNNNNNNNNNNNNNNNNNNNNNNNNNNNNNNNNNNNNNNNNNNNNNNNNNNNNNNNNNNNNNNNNNNNNNNNNNNNNNNNNNNNNNNNNNNNNNNNNNNNNNNNNNNNNNNNNNNNNNNNNNNNNNNNNNNNNNNNNNNNNNNNNNNNNNNNNNNNNNNNNNNNNNNNNNNNNNNNNNNNNNNNNNNNNNNNNNNNNNNNNNNNNNNNNNNNNNNNNNNNNNNNNNNNNNNNNNNNNNNNNNNNNNNNNNNNNNNNNNNNNNNNNNNNNNNNNNNNNNNNNNNNNNNNNNNNNNNNNNNNNNNNNNNNNNNNNNNNNNNNNNNNNNNNNNNNNNNNNNNNNNNNNNNNNNNNNNNNNNNNNNNNNNNNNNNNNNNNNNNNNNNNNNNNNNNNNNNNNNNNNNNNNNNNNNNNNNNNNNNNNNNNNNNNNNNNNNNNNNNNNNNNNNNNNCCUUGUGUUGCCUCGCGCCCAAAAGUUUAGUCCCACCUCGCUAGUUGAGAGGGCUCGGGAGUGGUUUAUAAGCGCUGUUGCGCCCAUCCUCCCGAGCUCCUCUCUACUGCAGGCUUUCGGGCCUAAUCUGUCACUGCAAUGCAUGUGGGCCUACUGGGCCUGCUGCGGGCCUGAAUCCUGGCCCAUGGUAGGGUUUCUAGUCGUAUUCAGGCCGUGGUGGCCCAAUAGGUGGCAUUUUUUUUGUUGCUUUAUUUAUUUCCUUUUGUUUUUUGCUUUAUUUUUUAAUUCUUUAUGCCUUUAGUUUUAGAAAAAUUAUAAACUUUUUAUUAAUGCCAUUAGUUUUAAAAUUUGAAAAUAUUUUUUUAGUUUUUUAGUUUUCUUUGUUGCUUUAUUUAUUUUAUUUUGUGAUUAACUUUACUAUAAAAAUAGUUUUUUCCUGUUUUUUUAUUUGUUUUUUGCAUUAUUUAUUUUCUUUUGUUUUUUUCUUUAAUUUUUAAUUCUGUUUGCUUUUAGGUUAGCAAAAUUAUAAACUUNNNNNNNNNNNNNNNNNNNNNNNNNNNNNNNNNNNNNNNNNNNNNNNNNNNNNNNNNNNNNNNNNNNNNNNNNNNNNNNNNNNNNNNNNNNNNNNNNNNNNNNNNNNNNNNNNNNNNNNNNNNNNNNNNNNNNNNNNNNNNNNNNNNNNNNNNNNNNNNNNNNNNNNNNNNNNNNNNNNNNNNNNNNNNNNNNNNNNNNNNNNNNNNNNNNNNNNNNNNNNNNNNNNNNNNNNNNNNNNNNNNNNNNNNNNNNNNNNNNNNNNNNNNNNNNNNNNNNNNNNNNNNNNNNNNNNNNNNNNNNNNNNNNNNNNNNNNNNNNNNNNNNNNNNNNNNNNNNNNNNNNNNNNNNNNNNNNNNNNNNNNNNNNNNNNNNNNNNNNNNNNNNNNNNNNNNNNNNNNNNNNNNNNNNNNNNNNNNNNNNNNNNNNNNNNNNNNNNNNNNNNNNNNNNNNNNNNNNNNNNNNNNNNNNNNNNNNNNNNNNNNNNNNNNNNNNNNNNNNNNNNNNNNNNNNNNNNNNNNNNNNNNNNNNNNNNNNNNNNNNNNNNNNNNNNNNNNNNNNNNNNNNNNNNNNNNNNNNNNNNNNNNNNNNNNNNNNNNNNNNNNNNNNNNNNNNNNNNNNNNNNNNNNNNNNNNNNNNNNNNNNNNNNNNNNNNNNNNNNNNNNNNNNNNNNNNNNNNNNNNNNNNNNNNNNNNNNNNNNNNNNNNNNNNNNNNNNNNNNNNNNNNNNNNNNNNNNNNNNNNNNNNNNNNNNNNNNNNNNNNNNNNNNNNNNNNNNNNNNNNNNNNNNNNNNNNNNNNNNNNNNNNNNNNNNNNNNNNNNNNNNNNNNNNNNNNNNNNNNNNNNNNNNNNNNNNNNNNNNNNNNNNNNNNNNNNNUUCUGUUAGUGCCAUUAGUUUUCAAAUUUGAAAACACUUUUUUAGUUUUUUUGUUUUCUUUGUUGCUUUAUUUAUUUUAUUUUGUGAUUAACUUUACUAUAAGAAUAGUUUUUUCCUGUUUUUUUGAUUUGUUUUUUGCAUUAUUUAUUUUCUUUUGUUUUUUGCUUUAAUUUUUAAUUCUGUUUGCUUUUAGGUUAGCAAAAUUAUAAACUUUCUGUUAGUGCCAUUAGUUUUAGAAAAAUUAUAAACUUUCUGUUAGUGCCAUUAGUUGAAAGUUGGCAUGGGCCAGGGACUAAUGGUCAUGGUAUUACGAGGGCCGAACCAUAAGACAUGAAAGCAUUUCAAAUGAACUCUGAAAAAGUUGAAAGUUGGGAUGGUAUCAUAAUUUCACCCACAUAGCAUGUGCAUGUACAAAACGGACAAUGGUAGCAUGUUCGUGUGUUACAAAGUUGCGGGAGAAAGUCUUCACUUUUUCUUCGCUUGUGUCAUUUGCUUAUUGCGCCGUAACCAUGGAUAAUCUUCAUUGUUUAUCAGGAUGCUUGGGUCAGCCUUGACAUUGAAGGGAGGAAUUUCAUGAAACUUUUCAUAAUCUUCAGACAUGUCUGUCUUGCCGUCCACUCCUAGGAUGUCCCUUUUCCCUGAAAGAACUAUGUGGCGCUUUGGCUCAUCGUAUGAUGUAUUCGCUUCCUUAUCUUUUCUUUUUCUCGGUUUGGUAGACAUGUCCUUCACAUAGAUAACCUGUGCCACAUCAUUGGCUAGGACGAACGGUUCGUCAGUGUACCCAAGAUUUUUCAGAUCCGCUUUUGUCAUUCCGUACUGUGGGUCUACCUCUACCCCGCCGCCUAACAGAUUGACCCAUUUGCACUUAAACAAAGGGACCUUAAAAUUAGGUUCGUAGUCAAGUUCCCAUAUGUCCACUGUGUAACCAUAAUAUGUAUCCUUUCCGCUCUCGGUUGCUGCAUCAAAGCGGACACCGCUGUUUUGGUUGGUGCUCUUUUGAUCUUGGGCGAUCGUGUAAAAUGUAUUCCCAUUUAUCUCGUAUCCUUUGUAAGUCAAUACAGUCAAAGAUGGUCCCCUGGACAACAAGUACAACUCAUCACAAACAGUGUUGUCACCUCUGAGACGUGUUUCCAACCAACUGCUGAAAGUCCUGAUGUGUUCACAUGUAAUCCAGUCGUCGCACUGCUCUGGGUGUUUGGAGCGCAGACUGUUCUUGUGUUCAUCGACAUACGGGGUCACCAAGGUAGAGUUCUGUAGAACUGUGUAGUGUGCUUGAGACCAAGAAUAUCCGUCCCUGCAUAUUAUUGAGUCUCUUCCAAGAGUGCCUUUUCCAGUCAGUCUCCCCUCAUACCGCGAUUUAGGGAGACCUAGCUUGUUAAGGCCAGGAAUGAAGUCAACACAAAACCCGAUAACAUCCUCUGUUUGAUGGCCCAUGGAGAUGCUUCCUUCUGGCCUAGCGCGAUUACGGACAUAUUUCUUUAGGACUCCCAUGAACCUCUCAAAGGGGAACAUAUUGUGUAGAAAUACGGGCCCCAGGAUGACAAUCUCGUCGACUAGAUGAACUAGGACAUGCGUCAUGAUAUUGAAGAAGGAUGGUGGGAACACCAGCUCGAAACUGACAAGACAUUGCGCCACAUCACUCCUUAGCCUUGGUACGAUUUCUGGAUCGAUCACCUUCUAAGAGAUUGCAUUGAGGAAUGCACAUAGCUUCACAAUGGCUAAUCGGACGUUUUCCGAUAGAAGCCCCCUCAAUGCAACCGGAAGCAGUUGCGUCAUAAUCACGUGGCAGUCAUGAGACUUUAGGUUCUGAAACUUUUUCUCUGGCAUAUUUAUUAUUCCCUUUAUAUUCGACGAGAAUCCAGUCGUGACCUUCAUACUGAGUAGGCAUUCAAAGAAGAUUUCUUUCUCUUCUUUCGUAAGAGCGUAGCUGGCAGGACCUUUAUACUGCUUUGGAGGCAUGCCGUCUUUUUUGUGCAAACGUUGCAGGUCCUCCCGUGCCUCAGGUGUAUCUUUUGUCUUCCCAUACACGCCCAAGAAGCCUAGCAGGUUCACGCAAAGGUUCUUCGUCACGUGCAUCACAUCGAUUGAGGAGCGGACAUCUAGGUCUUUCCAGUAGGGUAGGUCCCAAAAUAUAGAUUUCUUCUUCCACAUGGGUGCGUGUCCCACAGCGUCAUUCGGAACAGCUAGUCCACCGGGACCCUUUCCAAAGAUUACGUGGUGUAAAUCAUUGACCAUAGCAAGCACGUGAUCACCGGUGCGCAUGGCGGGCUUCUUCCGGUGAUCUGCCUCGCCUUUGAAAUGCUUGCCUUUCUUUCGACAUUGAUGGUUGGUCGGAAGAAAUCGACGAUGGCCCAGGUACACAUUCUUCCUGCAUUUGUCCAGGUAUAUACUUUCAGUGUCAUCUAAACAGUGCGUGCAUGUAUGGUAUCCUUUGUUUGUCUGUCCUGAAAGGUUACUGAGAGCGGGCCAAUCAUUGAUGGUCACGAACAGCAACGCCUUAAGGUUAAAUUCCUUCUGUAUGUGCUCAUCCCACGUACGUACACCGUUUUCAUUCCACAGCUAUAAAAGUUCUUCAACUAAUGGCCUUAGGUACACAUCAAUUUCGUUGCCGGGUUGCUUAGGGCCUUGGAUGAGAACUGGCAUCAUAAUGAACUUCCGCUUCAUGCACAUCCAAGGAGGAAGGUUAUGAAGGGUUUCAUAGUAAUUUCAAAAAUUUCCUACGCUCAUGCAAGAUCAUGGUGAUGCAUAGCAACGAGAGGGGAGAGUAUGAUCUAUGUACCUUGUAGAUCGACAACGGAAGCGUUUGGUUGAUGUAGUCGUACGUCUCCACGGCUCGACCGAUCAAGCACCGAAACUACGGCACCUCCGAGUUCUAGCACACGUUCAGCUCGAUGACGAUCCCCGGACUCCGAUCCAGCAAAGUGUCGGGGAAGAGUUCCGUUAGCACGACGGCGUGGUGACGAUCUUGAUGUACUACUACAGCAGGGCUUCGCCUAAGCACCGCUACAAUAUUAUCGAGGACUAUGGUGGAAGGGGGCACCGCACACGGCUAAGAAUAUGAUCAUGUGGAUCAACUUGUUGUUCUCUGGGGUGCCCCUGCCUCCGUAUAUAAAGGACCAAGGGGGGGGGAGGCCGGCCGGCCAUCAUAGGCGCGCCCGGAGGAGUCCUACUCCCUCCGGGAGUAGGACUUCUCCCCCAAUCCUAGUUGGAAUAGGAUUCGCGAGGUGGGAAAAGAGAGAGAGAGAAGGAGGGGGGCGCCGGCCCCCUCUCUCCUUGUCCUAUUCGGACUAGGGGGGAGGGGUGCGCGGCCCAGCCCUGGCUGCCUCUCCUCUUCUUCCACUAAGGCCCAUUAAGGCCCAUAUAGCUCCUGGGGGGUUCCGGUAACCUCCCGGUACUCCGGUAAAAUCCCGAUUUCACCCAGAACACUUCCGAUAUCCAAACAUAGGCUUCCAAUAUAUCAAUCUUUAUGUCUCGACCAUUUCGAGACUCCUCGUCAUGUCUGUGAUCACAUCCGGGACUCCGAACAACCUUCGGUACAUCAAAAUGCAUAAACUCAUAAUAUAACUGUCAUCGUAACCUUAAGCGUGCGGACCCUACGGGUUCGAGAACAAUGUAGACAUGACCGAGACACGUCUCCGGUCAAUAACCAAUAGCGGGACCUGGAUGCCCAUAUUGGCUCCUACAUAUUCUACGAAGAUCUUUAUCGGUCAGACCGCAUAACAACAUACGUUGUUCCCUUUGUCAUCGGUAUGUUACUUGCCCGAGAUUCGAUCGUCGGUAUCCUAUACCUAGUUCAAUCUCGUUACCGGCAAGUCUCUUUACUCGUUCUGUAAUACAUCAUCCCGCAACUAACUCAUUAGUUGCAAUGCUUGCAAGGCUUAAGUGAUGUGCAUUACCGAGAGGGCCCAGAGAUACCUCUCUGACAAUCGGAGUGACAAAUCCUAAUCUCGAAAUACGCCAACCCAACAUGUACCUUUGGAGACACCUGUAGAGCUCCUUUAUAAUCACCCAGUUACGUUGUGACGUUUGGUAGCACACAAAGUGUUCCUCUGGCAAACGGGAGUUGCAUAAUCUCAUAGUCAUAGGAACAUGUAUAAGUCAUGAAGAAAGCAAUAGCAACAUACUAAACGAUCGGGUGCUAAGCUAAUGGAAUGGGUCAUGUCAAUCAGAUCAUUCAACUAAUGAUGUGAUCCUGUUAAUCAAAUGACAACUCUUUGUCCAUGGUUUAGGAAACAUAACCAUCUUUGAUUAACAAGCUAGUCUAGCAGGCAUACUAGUGACACUCUGUUUGUCUAUGUAUUCACACAUGUAUUAUGUUUCCGGUUAAUACAAUUCUAGCAUGAAUAAUAAACUUUUAUCGUGAUAUAAGGAAAUAAAUAAUAACUUUAUUUUUGCCUCUAGGGCAUAUUUCCUUCAGUCUCCCACUUGCACUAGAGUCAAUAAUCUAGAUUACACAGUAAUGAUUCUAACACCCAUGGAGUCUUGGUGCUGAUCAUGUUUUGCUCAUGGAAGAGGCUUAGUCAACGGGUCUGCAACAUUCAGAUCCAUAUGUAUCUUGCAAAUCUCUAUGUCUCCCACCUGGACUAGAUCCCGGAUGGAAUUGAAGCGUCUCUUGAUGUGCUUGGUUCUCUUGUGAAAUCUGGAUUCCUUCGCCAAGGCAAUAGCACCAGUAUUGUCACAAAAGAUUUUUCAUUGGACCCGAUGCACUAGGUACGAUACCUAGAUCGGAUAUGAACUCCUUCAUCUAGACUCCUUCAUUUGCUGCUUCCGAAGCAGCUAUGUAUUCCGCUUCACACGUAGAUCCCGCCACGACACUUUGUUUAGAACUGCACCAACUGACAGCUCCACCGUUUAAUGUAAACACGUAUCCGGUUUGCGAUUUAGAAUCGUCUGGAUCAGUGUCAAAGCUUGCAUCAACGUAACCGUUUACGAUGAGCUCUUUGUCACCUCCAUAUAUGAGAAACAUAUCCUUAGUCCUUUUCAGGUACUUCAGGAUGUUCUUGACCGCUGUCCAGUGAUCCACUCCUGGAUUACUUUGGUACCUCCCUGCUAGACUUAUAGCAAGGCACACAUCAAGUCUGGUACACAGCAUUGCAUACAUGAUAGAGCCUAUGGCUGAAGCAUAGGGAACAUCUUUCAUCUUCUCUCUAUCUUAUGCAGUGGUCGGGCAUUGAGUCUUACUCAACUUCACACCUUGUAACACAGGCUAGAACCCUUUCUUUGCUUGAUCCAUUUUGAACUUCUUCAAAAUCUUGUCAAGGUAUGCGCUUUGUGAAAGUCCAAUUAAACGUCUCGAUCUAUCUCUAUAGAUCUUUAUGCCUAAUAUGUAAGCAGCUUCACCGAGGUCUUUCAUUGAAAAACUCUUAUUCAAGUAUCCUUUUAUGCUAUCCAGAAAUUAUAUAUCAUUUCCAAUCAGUAAUAUGUCAUCCACAUAUAAUAUCAGAAAUGCUACAGAGCUCCCACUCACUUUCUUGUAAAUACAGGCUUCUCCAAAAGUCUAUAUAAAACCAAAUGCUUUGAUCACACUAUCAAAGCGUUUAUUCCAACUCCGAGAGGCUUGCACCAGUCCAUAAAUGGAUCGCUGGAGCUUGCACACUUUGUUAGCUCCCUUUGGAUCGACAAAACCUUCCGGUUGCAUCAUAUACAACUCUUCUUCCAGAAAUCCAUUCAGGAAUGCAGUUUUGACAUCCAUCUGCCAAAUUUCAUAAUCAUAAAAUGCGGCAACUGCUAACAUGAUUCGGACAGACUUAAGCAUCUCUACGGGUGAGAAGGUCUCAUCGUAGUCAAUCCCUUGAACUUGCCAAAACCCUUUUGCGACAAGUCGAGCUUUGUAGACAGUAAUAUUACCGCCGGCGUCAGUCUUCUUCUUGAAGAUCCAUUUAUUCUCAAUUGCUUGCCGAUCAUUGGGCAAGUCAACCAAAGUCCACACUUUGUUCUCAUACAUGGAUCACAUCUCAGAUUUCAUGGCUUCAAGCCAUUUUGCAGAAUCUGGGCUCACCAUCGCUUCUUCAUAGUUCGUAGGUUCAUCAUGAUCUAAUAGCAUGACUUCCAGAACAGGAUUGCCGUACCACUCUGGUGCGGAUCUUACUCUGGUUGAUCUAUGAGGUUCAGUAGUAUCUUGUUCUGAAGUUUCAUGAUCAUUAUCAUUAGCUUCCUCACUAAUUGGUGUAGGUGUCACAGAAACAGUUUUCUGUGAUGCACUACUUUCCAAUAAGGGAGCAGGUACAGUUACCUCGUCAAGUUCUACUUUCCUCCCACUCACUUCUUUCGAGAGAAACUCCUUCUCUAGAAAGUUUCCGAACUUAGCAAUAAAAGUCUUGCCUUCGGAUCUGUGAUAGAAGGUGUAUCCAAUAGUCUCCUUUGGAUAUCCUAUGAAGAAACAUUUCUCUGAUUUGGGUUCGAGCUUAUCAGGUUGAAGCUUUUUCACAUAAGCAUCGCAGCCCCAAACUUUCAGAAACGACAACUUUGGUUUCUUGCCAAACCAUAGUUCAUAAGGCGUCGUCUCAACGGAUUUUGAUGGUGCCCUAUUUAACGUGAAUGCGGCCGUCUCCAAAGCAUAACCCCAAAACGAUAGCGGUAAAUCAGUAAGAGACAUCAUAGAUCGCACCAUAUCCAGUAAAGUACGAUUACGACGUUCGGACACACCAUUACGCUGUGGUGUUCCGGGUGGCGUGAGUUGCGAAACUAUUCCGCAUUGUUUCAAACACCAAACUCGUAACUCAAAUAUUCUCCUCCACGAUCAGAUCGUAGAAACUUUUAUUUUCUUGUUACGAUGAUUUUCAACUUCACUCUGAAAUUCUUUGAACUUUUCAAACGAUUCAGACUUAUGUUUCAUUAAGUAGAUAUACCCAUAUCUGCUUAAGUCAUCUGUGAAGGUGAGAAAAUAACGAUAUCUGCCACGAGCCUCAAUAUUCAUCGGACCACAUACAUCUGUAUGUAUGAUUUCCAACAAAUCUGUUGCUCUCUCCAUAGUACCGGAGAACGGCGUUUUAGUCAUCUUGCCCAUGAGGCACGGUUCGCAAGUACCAAGUGAUUCAUAAUCAAGUGGUUCCAAAAGUCCAUCAGUAUGGAGUUUCUUCAUGCACUUUACACCGAUAUGACCUAAACGGUAGUGCCACAAAUCAGUUGCACUAUCAUUAUCAACUCUGCAUCUUUUGGUUUCAACAUUAUGAAUAUGUGUGUUACUACUAUUGAGAUUCAAUAAGAAUAGACCACUCUUCAAGGGUGCAUGACCAUAAAAGAUAUUACUCAUAUAAAUAGAACAACCAUUAUUCUCUGAUUUAAAUGAAUAACCGUCUCACAUCAAACAAGAUCCAGAUAUAAUGUGCAUGCUUAACGCUGGCACCAAAUAUCAAUUAUUUAGGUCUAAUAUUAAUCCCGAAGGCAGAUGUAGAGGUAGCGUGCCGACCGCGAUCACAUCGACUUUGGAACCGUUUCCCACGCGCAUCGUCACCUUGUCCUUAGCCAAUCUUCGCUUAAUCCGUAGUCCCUGUUUCGUGUUGCAAAUAUUAGCAACAGAACCGGUAUCAAAUACCCAGGUGCUACUGCAAGCAUUAGUAAGGUACACAUCAAUAACAUGUAUAUCACAUAUACCUUUGUUCACCUUGCCAUCCUUCUUAUCCGCCAAAUACUUGGGGCAGUUCCGCUUCCAGUGACCAGUCUGCUUGCAGUGGAAGCACUCAGUUUCAGGCUUAGGUCCAGACUUGGGUUUCUUCUCUUGAGCAGCAACUUGUUUGCUGUUCUCCUUGAAGUUCCCCUUCUUCUUCCAUUUGCCCUUUUUCUUGAAACUAGUGGUCUUGUUGACCAUCAACACUUGAUGCUCCCUUUUGAUUUCUACCUCCGCAGCUUUCAGCAUUGCGAAGAGCUCGGGAAUAGUCUUAUUCAUCCCUUGCAUAUUAUAGUUCAUCACGAAGCUCUUGUAGCUUGGUGGCAGUGAUUGGAGAAUUCUGUCAAUGACACAAUCAUCUGGAAGAUUAACUCCCAUCUGAAUCAAGUGAUUAUUAUACCCAGACAUUUUGAGUAUAUGCUCACUGACAGAACUGUUCUCCUCCAUCUUGCAGCUAUAGAACUUAUUGGAGACUUCAUAUCUCUCAAUCCGGGCAUUUGCUUGAAAUAUUAACUUCAACUCCUGGAACAUCUCAUAUGCUCCAUGACGUUCAAAACGUCGUUGAAGUCCCGAUUCUAAGCCGUAAAGCAUGGCACACUGAACUAUCGAGUAGUCAUCAGCUUUGCUCUGCCAGACGUUCACAACAUCUGGUGUUGCUCCAGUAGCAGGCCUGGCACCCAGCGGUGCUUCCAGGACGUAAUUCUUCUGUGCAGCAAUGAGGAUAAUCCUCAAGUUACGGACCCAGUCCGUGUAAUUGCUACCAUCAUCUUUCAACUUUGCUUUCUAAAGGAACGCAUUAAAAUUCAACGGAACAACAACACGGGCCAUUUAUCUACAAUCAUAUAUAAGCAAGAUACUAUCAGGUACUAAGUUCAUGAUAAAUUUAGGUUCAAUAAAUCAUAUUACUUAAAGAACUCCCACUUAGAUAGACAUCCCUCUAAUCCUCUAAGUGAUUACGUGAUCCAAAUCAACUAAACCAUGUCUGAUCAUCACGUGAGAUGGAGCAGUUUCAUUGGUGAACAUCACUAUGUUGAUCAUAUCUACUAUAUGAUUCAUGCUCGACCUUUUGGUCUCCGUGUUCCGAGGCCAUAUCUGUAUAUGCUUGGCUCGUCAAGUAUAACCUGAGUAUUCCGCGUGUGCAACUAUUUUGCACCCGUUGUAUUUGAACGUAGAGCCUAUCACACCCGAUCAUCACGUGGUGUCUCAGCACGAAGAACUUUCGCAACGGUGCAUACUCAGGGAGAACACUUCUUGAUAAUUUAGUGAGAGAUCAUCUUAUAAUGCUACCGUCAAUCAAAGCAAGAUAAGAUGCAUAAAAGAUAAGCAUCACAUGCAAUCACAUCACAACAUGCCCUUGCAAAAACAAGUUAGACGUCCUCUACUUUGUUGUUGCAUGUUUUACGUGGCUGCUACGGGCUCAAGCAAGAACCAAUCUUACCUACGCAUCAAAACCACAAUGAUAGUUUGUCAAGUUGGUGUUGUUUUAACCUUCGCAAGGACCGGGCGUAGCCACACUCAGUUCAACUAAAGUUGGAGAAACUAUCACCCGCAAGCCACCUAUGUGCAAAGCACGUCGGGAGAACCGGUCUCGCGUAAGCGUACGCGUAAUGUCAGUCCGGGCCGCUUCAUCCAACAAUACCACCGAACCAAAGUAUGACAUGCUGGUAAGCAAUAUGACUUAUAUCACCCACAACUCACUUGUGUUCUACUUGUGCAUAUAACAUCAACAUGUAAAACCUAGGCUCGGAUGCCACUGAAGGGUUUCAUAGUAAUUUCAAAAUUUUCCUACGCUCAUGCAAGAUCAUGGUGAUGCAUAGCAACGAGAGGGGAGUGUAUGAUCUACGUACCUUGUAGAUCGACAACGGAAGCGUUUGGUUGAUGUAGUCGUACGUCUCCACAGCUCGACCGAUCAAGCACCGAAACUACGGCACCUCCGAGUUCUAGCACACGUUCAGCUCGAUGACGAUCCCCGGACUCCGAUCCAGCAAAGUGUCGGGGAAGAGUUCCGGUAGCACGAUGGCGUGGUGACGAUCUUGAUGUACUACUACAGUAGGGCCUCGCCUAAGCACCGCUACAAUAUUAUCGAGGACUAUGGUGGAAGGGGGCACCGCACAUGGCUAAGAAUAUGAUCACGUGGAUCAACUUGUUGUUCUCUGGGGUGCCCCUGCCUCCGUAUAUAAAGGACCAAGGGGGGAGGCCGGCCGGCCAUCAUAGGCGCGCCAGGAGGAGUCCUACUCCCUCCGGGAGUAGGACUUCUCCCCCAAUCCUAGUUGGAAUAGGAUUCGCGAGGUGGGAAAAUAGAGAGAGAGAAGGAGGGGGGCGUCGGCCCCCUCUCUCUUUGUCCUAUUCGGACUAGGGGGGAGGGGCGCGUGGCCCAGCCCUGGCUGCCUCUCCUCUUCUUCCACUAAGGCCCAUUAAGGCCCAUAUAGCUCCCGGGGGGUUCCGGUAACCUCCCGGUACUCCGGUAAAAUCCCGAUUUCACCCGGAACACUUCCGAUAUCCAAACAUAGGCUUCCAAUAUAUCAAUCUUUAUGUCUAGACCAUUUCGAGACUCCUCGUCAUGUCCGUGAUCACAUCCGGGACUCCGAACAACCUUCGGUACAUCAAAAUGCAUAAACUCAUAAUAUAACUAUCAUCGUAACCUUAAGCGUGUGGACCCUACGGGUUCGAGAACAAUGUAGACAUGACCAAGACACGUCUCCGGUCAAUAACCAAUAGUGGGACCUGGAUGCCCAUAUUGGCUCCUACAUAUUCUACGAAGAUCUUUAUCGGUCAGACCGCAUAACAACAUACGUUGUUCCCUUUGUCAUCGGUAUGUUACUUGCCCGAGAUUCGAUCGUCGGUAUCCUAUACCUAGUUCAAUCUCGUUACCGGCAAGUCUCUUUACUCGUUCUGUAAUACAUCAUCCCGCAACUAACUCAUUAGUUGCAAUGCUUGUAAGGCUUAAGUGAUGUGCAUUACCGAGAGGGCCCAGAGAUACCUCUCCGACAAUCGGAGUGACAAAUCCUAAUCUCGAAAUACGCCAACCCAACAUGUACCUUUGGAGACACCUGUAGAGCUCCUUUAUAAUCACCCAGUUACGUUGUGACAUUUGGUAGCACACAAAGUGUUCCUUUGGCAAACGGGAGUUGUAUAAUCUCAUAGUCAUAGGAACAUGUAUAAGUCAUGAAGAAAGCAAUAGCAACAUACUAAACGAUCGGGUGCUAAGCUAAUGGAAUGGGUCAUGUCAAUCAGAUCAUUCAACUAAUGAUGUGAUCCUAUUAAUCAAAUGACAACUCUUUGUCCAUGGUUUAGGAAACAUAACCAUCUUUGAUUAACAAGCUAGUCUAGUAGAGGCAUACUAGUGACACUCUGUUUGUCUAUGUAUUCACACAUGUAUUAUGUUUCCGGUUAAUACAAUUCUAGCAUGAAUAAUAAACUUUAUCAUGAUAUAAGGAAAUAAAUAAUAACUUUAUUAUUGCCUCUAGGGUAUAUUUCCUUUAGGUUAUACAUAGAGUCACGGGCCAGGUGCUGUGAUUGCUGCUCUGCUCCCCGAAAGGAUUAAUGCCAUCCGCGCUUAAAGCAAACCAUACAUUCCUUGGGUCCUUUGCAAACUCAUCCCAGUACUUUCUCUCGAUUUUUCUCCACUGCGACCCGUCAGCGGGUGCUCUCAACUUCCCAUCUUUCUUUCGGUUCUCACUGUGCCAUCGCAUCAACUUGGCAUGCUCUUCGUUUUUGAAUAGACGUUUCUACCGUGGUAUUAUAGAAGCAUACCACAUCACCUUCGCAGGAACCCUCUUCCUGGGGGGCUCGCCGUCAACAUCACCAGGGUCAUCUCGUCUGAUCUUAUACCGCAAUGCACCGCAUACCGGGCAUGCCUUCAGAUCCUUGUAUGCACCGCGGUAGAGGAUGCAGUCAUUAGGGCAUGCAUGUAUCUUCUCCACCUCCAAUCCUAGAGGGCAUACGACCUUCUUUGUUGUGUAUGUAAUGUCGGGCAAUUCGUUAUCCUUUGGAAGCUUCUUCUUCAAUAUUUUCAGUAGCUUCUCAAAUCCUUUAUCAGCCACAACAUUCUCUGCCUUCCACUGCAGCAAUUCCAGUACGGUACCGAGCUUUGUGUUGCCAUAUUCGCAAUUAGGGUAUAACCCUUUUUUGUGAUCCUCUAACAUGCGAUCGAACUUCAGCUUCUCCUUUUGACUAAUGCAUUGCGUCCUUGCAUCGACAAUGACCCGGCGGAGAUUAUCAUCAUCGGGCACAUUGUCUGGUUCCUCUUGAUCUUCAGCAGCUUCACCCGUUGCAGCAUCAUUGGGCACAUCAUCUGGUUCCUCUUGAUCUUCACCAGCUCCCCCCAUUGCAGCAUCACCGUAUUCAGGGGGCACAUAGUUGUCAUCAUAGUCUUCUUCUUCGCCGUCUUCCAUCAUAACCCCUAUUUCUCCGUGCCUCGUCCAAACAUUAUAGUGUGGCAUGAAACCCUUGUAAAGCAGGUGGGAGUGAAGGAUUUUUCCGGUUAGAGUAAGACCUCGUAUUCCCACAUUCAGUGCAUGGACAACACAUAAAACCAUUCUGCUUGUUUGCCUCAGCCGCAUCGAGAAACUCAUGCACGCCCUUAAUGUACUCGCGGGUGUGUCUGUCACCGUACAUCCAUUGCCGGUUCAUCUUCGUGCAUUAUAUAUAAUUAAGUGUCCAAACUAAUAGAAGUUCAUCAUCACAUUAAAACCAAAGUGCAUACAUAGUUCUCAUCUAACAACAUAUAGCUCUCCAGAGCAUCUAAUUAAUUAAACCAUACAUUGAAACUAUGUAAAACAUUUCAAUGCGAAAACAAAUGCGAUCAUAAUCGCAACCAAGGUAACAAUUGAUCCAACGGCAUAAUGAUACCAAGCCUCGGUAUGAAUGGCAUAUUUUCUAAUCUUUCUAAUCUUCAAGCGCAUUGCAUCCAUCUUGAUCUUGUGAUCAUCGACGACAUCCGCAACAUGCAACUCCAAUAUCAUCUUCUCCUCCUCAAUUUUUUUUAUUUUUUCCUUCAAAAAAUUGUUUUCUUCUUCAACUAAAUUUAACCUCUCGACAAUAGGGUCGGUUGGCAUUUCCGAUUCACAUACAUCCUAGAUAAAUAAAAUCUAUGUCACGUUGGUCGGCAUAAUUUUCAUAAACAAUAAAUGAACCAAUAGUUAUAAAGAUAAUAUACAUACCACAUCCGAAUCAUAGACAGGACGAGGGCUGACGGGGGCGGAUACCAAAACCAUCGCACUAUAUAAGAUGCAAUAAUAAAUGUAAGAAAAUGAUACAAGUAUCUAUCUAAACAUACAAGUAAGAAUAAUUUUCCUUUCAGAAAGAAGAUAAGAACAAGAGGCUCACCACGGUGGUGUAGGUGAUGAGAUCGGCGCGGGUGAUCGACGGCGGUGAAGAUGGGGAUGGGGCGUGACAGACCGCUAAAUCUAGACAAAUCUCGAGGAAAAUGGAGCUUGGAGGUCGAGCUUCGAGAGGAGAAAGCUUAAGUAGUGUGGCUCGGGCAUUCCAUCGAACACCUCAUGUGCAUAGGAGGUGAGCUAGAGCACCACAAAGCCCUCUCCCCCUCGGCCAGAGAAAAACAGAGCACUGGGGUGCUCUGCUCACGAGCGAGGGGUAUAUAUAGGCACCUCAUUGGUCCCGGUUGGUGACAUGAGCCGGGACUAAAGGGGAGCCUUUGGUACCGGUUCAAGCCACCAACCGGGACCAAUGGUGGUGGGCCAGGAGCGAGGCCCAUUGGUCCCGGUUUAUCCCACCAACCGGGACCAAAAGGUCCAGAUGAACCGGGACCAAUGGCCCACGUGGCCCGGCCGGCCCCCUGGGCUCACGAACCGGGACCAAUGCCCACAUUGGUCCCGGUUCUGGACUGAACCGGGACUAAUGGGCUGACCCGGCCUGGACCAAAGCCCUGUUUUUUACUAGUGACACUUGUAACAAUCGACAAAGGUCAGUUACAUGGCUCACUCUAUGUAAGCCCUACCUCUGUAACAAGGGGUCUGUCAGGGUUACGAUCCUGACAAUAAGUACUAGGGGUACGAAAGAGGCCUAGCUACAGCGCAUGUGUAACACUCGGUGUUUAACGAGUUCAGGCCCCUCUCAGAUGAGGUAAUAGCCCUACGUCUCAUGCCUUGAGCCUUUGUUUUCUUGAGAGGUAUGAUUACAGAGAUUGCUUAACCCUUGUACAUGAGGAGGGGCAACUUAUAUAGAGUGCGUCGUUGACCCGCCAUUCCCAUGUCGCAAGGGUGAAUUUAAUGUUGACGUGGGCAUCCAUGUCAUAGCUGAGAGUUUCAAAACAACUACAUGCUCAUCUGAUCAUGCGAACAAGAAGCAGAUUAUUUGUGUUGGAAAAAUCCCUAUUGAGCUUGUUGCACCAGAUGAAGUUAAGCCAACAUUUAGAACUCCAUGUGUUGUACACACGUUGUGGUAGGAAAUAUACGAGUCAAGUUUGAUUCGGUUUGGUAUAGGUGCAGUAUACAUGAGUCAAGUCUUUGGUCUAGUACUAGUUACGUGGUUAUCUUAGUCUCCUAGGUGAUUAAGAUGGCCGGAUAAUUAAUUAGUUAAAUUCCUUGGUUAGUUUGAAUAGGAGAUAGAGUCCGUAUCUAUCUUGGGUGCUUUAGUCGGUUUGGUCAGAUUGGUGUCGCCUAUAUAACAGGCAGGCUUCGGCCGUGUAUCCAGUUUUUUUGAGUUUUUUUGUUUUAGUGGUGAGAUCAAUAAAAUUACAGAAAACGUCCCAUGUUGGGGGAUACCAAAUAUCUUUGUUGCUGAUCCGAGUGGAUUUUGUUGCUGCUGCGUGUGGAGUCGAUCCAAUCUACUCGACACAAGUUUCUGAUUUUAAGGUCUUGCAUCUUUGCUCGACCGAAAUUUCUUGUUGCUACUGCUAGUACCGUGAAAGAUCGGGACGUCGAACGACUCGCCAUCUAGUCGAGUCUACAUCAAGUGGUAUUCAAAGCUAAUGUUGUUCACGGUACUAUGUUGAUCAAGAUGUCAACCUCGGUCAACAAGGGUGAUGAGGUUGCUGCUGAUUCUGAGGAAAUAGUAUGUCCAGUGUAUGCGGAUAAUAUUCCGCAAAAUAUUCGGAAUGGUUUUGACCACACAUUCAACUACAUCAAGCAAUGUCAUGAUGCGCUCGGCAGAAGGAUAGAUGUCUUGAUCACUCGGUUUGAUGGUUUCGCGGACAUCAUCAAUAUGCCGGCGACGAAUUUUGCCCCACCACAGACUGCUCCGGCGGCUCCACUGCAUUAUGCACCACCUGCUCGCGAUGGACAUGCCGGUGUGCAUGAUCGCCAUUUGGCAGCACAACCUCAUGCUGGAGAUGAUGAUCUCGAUGAUGGCGUUGACCAGGUGGGGUACGCGCCACGACCAAGACACUAUGAGUCUCGUCCUGAAACUUCUGUUUGUGGUGGAGUGCAUGACCGAGUUGGUCAAGCUGUGCGUGUGCCUUUGGAUGAUGGAAUUGGGUGCAUAAAAAUUUCGAUCCCUUCGUUCUCCGGCAAGUGUGAACCAGAAGGCUAUUUGGAGUGGGAGAUGCGUGUUGAUCAAAUAUUUGAUGCCCAUCAUUAUAGCGAGGAGAAGAAAGUUCAACUUGCUGGAAUUGAGUUCACCGGUUAUGCGCUAAUUUGGUGGAAUCAAAUUUGUCAUUCAAGACAUCGCCCGACGACUUGGUGAGGUAUGAAAGAAUUCAUGAGGCGGCGUUUUGUUCCUGAGCACUAUAAAAGAGAUAUGUACAACAAGUUGCAGCAGCUCUCUCAGGGUAAUAUGAGUGUUGAUGAAUAUUACAAGGAGAUGGAAUUGCUUAUGAUACGUACAGGGACAACGGAGGAUCCGGAGGCGACUAUGGCACGUUUCUUUAAUGGUCUAAAUAUUGAGGUGCAGGAUCGUGUUGAGAUGGUGGUCUAUUACAACAUACAAGAUCUUGUGCACCAAGCUGUGCGGGCGGAACAACAGAUUAUGCGACGCCAAGUCAGCACAGUUCCUAGUACCACUUUGAACACAUGGCGACGCUCGCAACAUAAGAGUGAGGAUGUCGGUCCUAGCUCUAGGACAGCGACAUCUAAUCGCCCUCAAGCUUCCGUGCAAAAGGAUGCUUUAAAAUCAGGAUUGCCGAGAGUUGAUUCUAGUGCGCAGUCAGCCACACGUACUAGUAAUAUAGAGUGUUUCAAGUGUGGAGGAAGGGGGCAUAUGAGACGUGAAUGUCCUAAUGAGAAAAGAGUGUUGCUCACAAGAGAUGGCUAUGCAUCCGCUAGUGAUGAAGAGGCAGUUUCUGACACUUCUAGUGCAAAAUCUGAAGAUGUUGAAAAUGUGGUUGCGAGUUUUGAAGCUGCUGAAUCAUAUCCGUCUUUGAUGGUGCAGCGAGUGCAAGAGGAUCGCAUUGAGGACAAGGGUCAACAUUGGAAUAUUUUUCAAACUCAAUGCCAAAUCAACAACACCAAUUGUAAGUUAAUUAUAGAUGGAGGAAGCUACACCAAUGCGGUCAGCAAGGGAUUGGUGGAAGCUUUGGGGUUACCUGCAUGGAAGCACCCACAACCACACUGCAUCGAGUGGUUAUAUCAGUCCGGCGGACUAAAAAUUACUCAUAAGGUGCGUCUCAAUUUUUCGGUUGGUGACUAUACCGACACAGUGAUUUGUGAUGUUUUACUGAUGGAUGCAUGUCAUUUGUUGCUGGGGAGACCUCGGCAAUAUGAUCAUCAUGCCACACAUGAUGGAAGGUCCAACACUUAUUGUUUUCGGAAUGCCGGAAGACGAUAUGUGCUACAACCAAUGUUUGCUAAUGCUGUUAAGGAGGAUGAUAUUCUUUCAGUAAAGAAGGAGGUCUCUAAAACCACCACGCAGCUGAGGAUGGCUUCGUUACAAGGAGGAGGGGAUGCUGUGGGCAUCCAUGUCAUAGCUGGGAGUUUCAAAACAACUACAUGCUCAUCUGAUCAUGCGAACAAGAAGCAGAUUAUUUGUGUUGAAAAAAUCCCUAUUGAGCUUGUUGCACCAGAUGAAGUUAAGCCAACAUUUAGAACUCCAUGUGCUGUACACACGUUGUGGUAGGAAAUAUACGAGUCAAGUUUGAUUCGGUUUGGUAUAGGUGUAGUAUACGUGAGUCAAGUCUUUGGUCUAGUACUAGUUAUGUGGUUAUCUUAGUCUCCUAGGUGAUUAAGAUGGCCGGAUAAUUAAUUAGUUAAAUUCCUUGGUUAGUUUGAAUAGGAGAUAGAGUCCGUAUCUAUCUUGGGUGCUUUAGUCGGUUUGGUCAGAUUGGUGUCGCCUAUAUAACAGGCAGGCUUCGGCCGUGUAUCCAGUUUUUUUGAGUUUUUUUUGUUUUAGUGGUGAGAUCAAUAAAAUUACAGAAAACGUCCCAUGUUGGGGGACACCAAAUAUCUUUGUUGCUGAUCCGAGUGGAUUUUGUUGCUGCUGCGUGUGGAGUCGAUCCAAUCUACUCGACACAAGUUUUUGAUCUUACGGUCUUGCAUCUUUGCUCGACCGAAAUUUCUUGUUGCUACUGCUAGUACCGUGAAAGAUCGGGACGUCAAACGACUCGCCAUCUAGUCGAGUCUACAUCAAAUGCCGUAACUACGGCAGUUACAUGUAUAAAUGGCCACAACUACAACAGUUACAGGUAACGGUUGUAGGGAAAUGUAGCAUGCAAUUUCAAAAAAAUUCCUACGCUCAUGCAAGAUCUGUCUAGGAGAUGCAUAGCAACGAGAGGUGGAGAGUGUGUCCACAUACCCUCGUAGACCAAAAGCGGAAGCGUUUGAUAACGCAGUUGAUGUAGUCGAAGUUCUUCUAGAUCUGACCGAUCAAGCACCGAACGUACGGGACCUCCGAGUUCUGCACACUUCAGCUCGAUGAUGUCCCUCGUCCUCUUGAUCCAGCAAAGGUGUCGAGGAAGAAGAUGAGUUCCGUCAGCACGACGGUGUAGAGACGGUGAUGGUGAAGUGAUCCGCGUAGGGCUUCGCCUAAGCACUAGGAAGAUAUAACCGGAGGCGUAAACUAUGGAGGGGCGCCACACACGGCUAACAAUUGUUGGUGUGUGAUCUAGGCGCCCACUCCCCACGUAUAUAUAGGUGGGAGGGGAGGGGAGCAACCUUGGGGUGCCCCAAGUAGGAGGAAUCCUACUUGAGGGCCUAGUCCAAUCCCCCCUCCCCUUCCAUAUUUCCGGAGAGGAAAAAGGGAAGAGGAAGGGGAGAAGGAAAGGGGGGCCGAACCCCCUCUUUUUCCUUUCCCCACUCGGCCUCCUUCCUUUGGGGGGGGCGUGCCACCCUUGUGGGCUGGUGUGCUCCCCUUCUAUGGCCCAUGUGGCCCAUAUCUUUCCCCUGGGGGGUUCCGGUAACCCCCUGGUAGACCGAUAAAUACCCGAUACACUUUGAAACACUUCUGGUGUCCGAAUACUAUCAUCAUAUAUAUCAAUCUUUACCUAUCGACCAUUACGAGACUCCUCGUCAUGUCCGUGAUCUCAUCCGAGACUCUGAAAAAACAUUCGGUCACCAAAUCACAUAACUCAUAUAAUACUAAAUCAUCAUCGAACGUUAAGCGUGCGGACCCUACGGGUUCGAGAACUAAGUAGACAUGACCGAGACACCUCUCCGGUCAAUAACCAAUAGAGGAACCUGGAUGCUCGUAUUGGUUCCUACAUAUUCUACGAAGAUCUUUAUCGGUCGAACCAUAAUGACAACAUACGUUAUUCCCUUUGUCAUCGGUAUGUUACUUGCCCGAGAUUCGAUCGUCGGUAUCUCCAUACCUAGUUCAAUCUCAUUACCGGCAAGUCCCUUUACUCGUUCCAUAAUACAUCAUCUCACAACUAACUCAUUAGUCACUUUUCUUACAAGGCUUCUUAUGAUGUGCAUUACCGAGAGGGCCCAGAGAUACAUCUCCGAUACUCGGAGUGACAAAUCCUAAUCUCGAUCUAUGCCAACCCAACAAACACCUUCGGAGAUACCUGUAGAGCAUCUUUAUAAUCAUCCAGUUAUGUUGUGACGUGUGAUAGCACACAAGGUAUUCCUCUGGUAUCCGGGAGUUGCAUAAUCUCAUAGUCAAAGGAAUAUGUAUUUGACAUGAAUAAAGUAGUAGCAAUAAAACUGAACGAUCAAUAUGCUAAGCUAACAGAUGGGUCUUAUCCAUCAUAUCAUUCUUCUAAUGUUGUGAUCACGUUUAUCAAAUGACAACAUAUGUCUAUGGUUAGGAAACUUUAACCAUCUUUGAUUAACGAGCUAGUCUAGUAGAGGCUUACUAGGGACACAUAGUUUUGUCUAUGUAUCCACACAUGUAUCAAGUUUCCAGUUAAUAUAAUUCUAACAUGAAUAAUAAACAUUUAUCAUGAUAUAAGGAAAUAUAAAAUACCAACUUUAUUAUUGCCUCUAGGGCAUAUUUCCUUCAGUCUCCCACUUGUACUAGAGUCAAUAAUCUAGAUUACAUUGUAAUGAUUCUAACACCCAUGGAGUCUUGGUGUUGAUCAUGUUUUGCUCGUGGAAGAGGCUUAGUCAAUGGGUUUGCCCCAUUCAGAUCCGUAUGUAUUGUGCAAAUCUCUAUGUCUCCCUCCUUGACUUGAUCACGGAUGGAGUUGAAGCGUCUCUUGAUGUGUUUGGUUCUUUUGUGAAAUCAGGAUUCCUUCGCCAAGGCAAUUGCUCCAGUAUUGUCACAAAAGAUUUUUAUUGGACCCGAUGCACUAGUUAUUACAACUAGUGGGCCAGGGUGCCCACCACCCACCAGGGCGCGCCUAGAGGGGGUGACGCGCCCUGGUGUCUUGUGGCCACCUAGCAGCCCCCCUGUAACGCCCCGAGACCGUUGUGCCAGGUGUCUUCCAGUUAUUCGUUGUUGUUUCCUUGUCAUUUGUUUGCGUGUCAUGAAUUUCUUAUCAUGUCAUCAUGUGCAUCGCAUUUGCAUAUGUGUUCGUCUCAUGCAUCCGAGCUUUUUCCCUGUUGUCCAUUUUGCAAUCCGACACUCCUAUGUCCUCCGGCGCCCCCUUUUGCCUCUUUUCGUGUGCGGGUGUUGAACGUUCUCGGAUUGGACCGAGAUUUGCCAAGCGGCCUUGGUACAAUCGGUAGACCGCCUGUCAAGUUUCGUGCCAUUUGGGGUCUGUUUGAUACUCCAACGGUUAACCGGGGAACCGUAAAGGCCUCGUGUGUGUUGCAGCCCAACACCCCUCCAAAGUGGCCCAAAACCCAUCUAAACCCCCUCCAUCCUCUCGGUCGUUCGAUCACGAUCGCGUGGCCGAAAACCACUCCUCAUUUGGACUCUCCUAGCUCCCUCUACCUAUAUAUAUGUGUGCCUCCCCGAAAAUUUGCACAGUCUAACCCUAGCAUUUUUCCCUCUCCGCCGCCGGACACAUCUCCCUCCUCCAUCGGACAUGUCCGCCGCCGCCUUCGUCCAAUCCGGAGCCGCCACGUGUCCACCCGCGCCCCACUUUGCUGCCGGGCCCGCGGAGCCCAUCUCCGGCCCGCUCUGGGCCGCGCCGGGCCCAAUCCGCCCGAGCCGCCAGGAUCCCACGCCGUCCUNNNNNNNNNNNNNNNNNNNNNNNNNNNNNNNNNNNNNNNNNNNNNNNNNNNNNNNNNNNNNNNNNNNNNNNNNNNNNNNNNNNNNNNNNNNNNNNNNNNNNNNNNNNNNNNNNNNNNNNNNNNNNNNNNNNNNNNNNNNNNNNNNNNNNNNNNNNNNNNNNNNNNNNNNNNNNNNNNNNNNNNNNNNNNNNNNNNNNNNNNNNNNNNNNNNNNNNNNNNNNNNNNNNNNNNNNNNNNNNNNNNNNNNNNNNNNNNNNNNNNNNNNNNNNNNNNNNNNNNNNNNNCGCCGCCGCCGCAUCGCCACGAGCCAUCGCCCGCGCUGUCGCCGCCAUGCGCCUCCUCGCCGCCGUCGAGCUUCGCCGGCCGCCGCCCUCCACCGCCCGGGCCGGAGCUUUCCUUGCCGGCCGUCGGCUCCCGGUCGCGCUCCGCCCAUGGAUCCGACCGAUAUCCCUCCUCCGGUGCCCCCCCUCCCCCCAUCCUCUCCGGCCGCCUCCUCGCGUCGUCCGGCCUCCUCCACGUCAACUCCGGCGAGUUUCUCCGGCGUGCCUCAAAAACCAUGCCGAGCAAACCCUAGAUCUGGAGGUUGAUAUUUUGCCCAAGUCUUUUUCUGCAUCAUUUUCAAGCCAUGUUCAACAUGUCAUAACUUCAUCAUCGUAGCUCUGUUUCAUGCGCAUGAUAUAUCAAAUUGUUCGUCUGGAUGUGCUCUACAUUUUGUUACAUUGUGCCAUGCGUGUUUGAGUCCAUCUUGAUGCCCAAAUGACUGUUGCAAGAGUGCUAUGAAAUGUUAGGUGUUGAUUCUUAUCAGUUUAUGAGCAUUUGUCAUUUUUGCCAUGAUUAUUGUGUGCUGCAUAUGAGCAUGAGCUCUACAUGUGUUUUGUUAUAUGCCAUGCCAUCUUUACAGGGGUGUAUGCCAUGUAUUUUUGUGAUCAAUGUGGUGACUAGCACAAGCAUGCAAAGUAGCUCUCGUGAUGUUGCUGAUUUCAGGGACUUGAAAUUUCACUAAGUCAUUUCCCUGCUGUUAUUUUUAUGACAUGUAUUCAUGUUUUUACAGAGUGAUCCAUGCCUCUUUUGAGCAUGUUCAGUAAGGAUGAUUUUGAGAUAUUGUUAUGCUCUAUCCAUCCAUGCCCUUGUUUGCUUUCAUGGAGUGCCCUAGCAUGACUCAAUCUUGCUCUACUUUUGCUAUAAAAUGUUCCUGGCAGAUUGUUUACUUGUUAAUCAAUUUUGCCAAGGUUGUUGUAGUUGAUCCAUGCAUGCUAUGAGAUUGUUCUUGCCAUGUUUAGCUUCUUGAACAUGUCUUCUUGCUUGUUGUAUGCUUAGUUUGCCAUGCAUGCCUUGUGUUCAGUGCAUCGAGCUCGCAAACAUGCCUUCGUAACUCUGUUCUUGCCAUGUCCAGUUUUCUGCUAAUUCUGAAUCUGUUAACGAAACUUGCUAUAUUUACAUGGGUGCCAUCAUAUCUUUUGAUCCUUUUUGGCUUAUGGUCAGUAAGGGACUUUUGUUAUAUGCUUUGAGUAGAUUCAUGCCAUGCCUUGUAUUGCUAUGAUCUGAUCAUGUAGCAUGUUGUUAUCUUGCUCUAAACAUUGCUUCCUGAUGUUAAUUCCUGACAUGUUAGUAUUUUUUACCAAGUCUGAGAUGCUGUUAUCUUUUGCUCUUUUGCCAUGCUUGUUUGAACCUGCUGUUGUGUGAUUUAGCUGUAGCUCAGUGUUCAUCUUUUGUCAAGCAUCUUGAGUAGAUCACUACCAUGUGCUUUGUUGUUAUGUUAGAGUGCAGUAGCUUAUUUUUUUGAUGCAUUUUAGUUGGCAUCGUGCUGUUAAUCGCAGAAUUGUGUCAUUAUUGUUUUGCUUGCCAUUUGCAAAUCGUGCAUCCGAUUCCGGUGAUCUUUAUAUCGAUUUCGACCGAAAUCAACUCAUCUUUCCAGUGGCGCACUUGGUUUGCCAAGUUGAGGCCUGGUUCAAUCUUUUCCUUCCGGAGCACGCAUAUGCAUUGCAUAUUACAUCCUGCAUAUCAUGUCAUGUUUUGCAUCAUGUUGCUUGCGCAUUGCACCGUGGUUGGUUGUGGUUUCUUUUGUUUGUGCUCUUGCUUUGGGUAGAGCCGGGAGACAAGUUCGUAUCGAGGAACCCAUUGAGUAUGCUUAUGAGGAUCAAGCUUUCGCCUACUCGGAGAACUUUGCAGGCAAGAUGACCAUACCAUCAAAAUCACUUCUAUCUUUGCUUGCUAGUUGCUCGCUCUUUUGCUAUGCCGCAAUACCUACCACUUGCUAUAUCAUGCCUCUCAUAUUGCCAUGUCAAGCCUCUAACCCACCUUUCCUAGCAAACCAUUGUUUGGCUAUGUUACCGCUUUGCUCAGCCCCUCUUAUAGCAUUGCUAGUUGCAGGUGAAGAUGAAGUUUGUUCCAUGUUGGAACAUGGAUUUGUUGGGAUAUCAUUAUUAUAUCUUGUUUACCUUAAUGCACCUAUAUACUUGGUAAAGGGUGGAAGGCUCGGCCUUAUGCCUGGUGUUUUGUUCCACUCUUGCCACCCUAGUUUCCGUCAUACCGGUGUUAUGUUCCUUGAUUUUGUGUUCCUUACGCGGUUGGCUUAUAAUGGGAACCCCUUGACAGUUCUCCUUGAAUAAAACUCCUCCAGCAAGGCCCAACCUUGGUUUUACCAUUUGCACUAACAACAUAUCACCUUCCCUUGGGUUCUGCAGACUCAAGGGUCAUCUUUAUUUACCCCCCGGGCCAGUGCUUGUCUAAGUGUUGGUCCGAACUAGAGCCCCUUGCAGCGCCACCUCGGGGAAACUUGAGGGCUGGUUUUAGUUGUACGAGUUGCUCAUCCGGUGUUGCCCUGAGAACGAGAUAUGUGCAGCUCCUAUCAGGAUGUCGACGCAUCGGGCGGCUUUGCUGGUCUUGUUUUACCAUUGUCGAGAUGUCUUGUAACCGGGAUUCCGAGUCUGAUCGGGUCUUCCUGGGAGAAGGAAUAUCCUUCGUUGACCGUGAGAGCUUGUGAUGGGCUAAGUUGGGACACCCCUGCAGGGUUUUGAACUUUUGAAAGCCGUGCCCGUGGUUAUGGGCAGAUGGGAAUUUGUUAAUGUCUGGUUGUAGAGAACUUGACACUUAACUUAAUUAAAAUGCAUCAACAGCGUGUGUAGCCGUGAUGGUCUCUUUUCGGCGGAGUCCGGGAAGUGAACACGGUCUCGUGUUAUGCUUGAAUGUAAGUAGUUUCAGGAUCACUUCUUGAUCAUGAUAGUUUAUCGAUCGUGCUUUGCUUCUCUUCUCGCUCUCAUUUGCGUAAGUUAGCCAACAUAUAUGCUAGUGCUUGUUGCAGCUCCACCUCACUGCCUUUUCCUACCCAUAAGCUUAAAUAGUCUUGAUCGCGAGGGUGUGAGAUUGCUGAGUCCCCGUGACUCAUAGAUUACUUCAAACAGUUGCAGGUGCCGAUGAUAACCGUGCAGGUGACGCAACCAAGCUCAAGGAGGAGCUCGAUGAAGAUCGUGUUUGUUGUGUUGUUUCGUUUCCAGUUGAUCAGUAGUGGAGCCCAGUCGGGGCGAUCGGGGUUCUAUUGCAUUAGGGGUUGUCUUUCUUUAUUUGGUUCCGUAGUCGGACCUUGAUUGUAUUCUGGAUGAUGUAAUGUUUUAUCCAUGUAUUGUGUGAAGUGGCGAUUGUAAGCCAACUCUUUAUCCCUUUCAUUUCAGUACAUGGGAUGUGUAAAGAUUACCCCUCUUGCGAUAUGCCUACAAUGCGGUUAUGCCUCUAAGUCGUGCUCCGACACGUGGGAGAUAUAGCCGCAUCGUGGGUGUUACACCCCCUCUGGUAGUUCUUUUCUCUGAUAUUUUUUCUUUAUUCUAAAAUAAUUCUCCGUAAAAUUUCAGCUUGUUUGGAGAUGUGCAGAAUAGGUAUCUCUGAUAUAGCUUUUUUAGGUCCAGAAUUCCAGUUGCCGGCAUUCUUCCUCUUUGUGUAAACCUUCCAUAUUAUGAGAGAAAAGGCAUUAGAAUUACUCCAUAAAGUGUUAUAAAGCAUAAAAACACUAUAAAUGUAUGAUUUUGUCAUGCAAAAUCAAAAUGAAUGUCACAGAAAUACCCUAAAACGUCAUAUAAGAUCACCAUUGACCAUCAAAAUAUAAGGCCACCUCAUUCAUUAUGAAGAAAUUCUUUGCCAUGAGAGUAAACCAGGCCAACACUAAAAUUCAUGAAGUAAAGUCAUCCAUAGUCUUAUGUUUCAUUACAUGAAAGAAAGUGAUGGUAUGACUCCAUCGUGUAUUAGAUGUGGCCUUUCCUACGACAAUGUGGUAUCAUCAUUUUUUCUAAUUUAGUAAAAGGUCUUACAUAUUGGUUUCACAAUCCAAAAAGACUCCUUCGCCCGCGCGUUGGGACGGGCGAAGCGCUCCAUAGAAGCAGUCAGGUUCCGACAUUGCGCUAUGUUCCUUUUCAAACUUUUGUGUGUUGUUUACCUGAGAAUGGUGGCCCCACAUAGUAUAGCAGCCCCACCUAUUACACGCAUUCCCUAACCCUUUGUGACAGCUAGUCGGAAAUUGAUCGCGUGGGCGUGUGCGCGUGAAUUAGCCUCCCCCUCACAGCCAUCCACCCCAAAAAAUAAUACAAAUUAAUAUAAUUUUAGCCAUGUUAGAGACAUGUGUGUACCUCCACAAUGUAAUGGGCUAUUGUUGUUUACAACUAAUUGGUUCCUAAUUUUAUGACUGGAUAUGGAUUUUGUCAUGAAACAUACAGGGUUUGUGCCUCCUAGGUAGGUUUAUGACAAAAUGAUAGUUUUGUCAUGGAAGGACCGAUGUUUAUGACACAAACACAAAACAUCACAGAUAAUUCAUCGUAGAAGGCCAAAAUUUAGUAGUACAAGAUAUCUUGGGACUCGUCAACUGGAUAUGUAAUUUGCACAUAUUUGUGUCCUCUACACAUUCUAUGGUUUACUGGAAUUUAUGCAAUAAUGCAAAAAAAUAGUAUCUAAUUGCGGUGCAAAAUGGUUAGAAAAAGUGCCAUGUCUUUGAUGAAUCGAUGUUGGAAUAUGGCUCACAAGACAAGUGCACUAUGGUAGGUUUGUCCUUGUCUUGUUUUGACACAUUUUUUCUCCUUUUUUCUAGUUUUUAAUUUGGAUUUUGGCUUUUUAUCAUCUGGUUCUCAUCAAUUUCCAACUGUUGCCACAAGUUUUCAAGGGGUUCUUAGCCAUCUUUUUAUGUGUUUCUCCACAAUAUUUUUUGAAGUACUUUGGUAUUCCAUAACAAUUUUCACACUAGAUAAUACACAACAUAUAACUGAGGAAAAAUGCAUGAGAAGAAAACAAUGCAAGACAUAGGCAUCUCCAGCUGCAAACAAAGUAACAUUUCCAUCAAUUGAUGGCAAGACAACAAUCCGCGGAUUGCAUAUAAUAUAUGUGUGUAUGUAUAGCCGGUGCUAUAAUUCUCAUAUGCAUCCUCCUCGACCUACGUUGGUAGGUGCUUACAUAAUAUACUCAUAUAUUCACAUAUGAGUAGUACGAGAAGUAAAACCGAGAAAGCAGCGCUGCCGACAAAUGUGAACUAACAUGGCAUGUAUAUGCGUUACUUCAACUUGCACUUUAG